rfam:Tenericutes bacterium GWF2_38_8 gwf2_scaffold_13316, whole genome shotgun sequence.
CAAGCAUCAUCAUUCAAUAGUAACUUGUGAACCUGGUCAGGUCUUGAUUGAAGCAGCCAUAAGCAUUUCUACUAUGUGGGUGAUGAUGCUUGAUG